GUGAGGAGGAUGGCUCCUUGAACCACCGUCCUUCCUUCUUCUUCUCCGGUUGACACGCCGACAUGAUUUUUUGAUGUAACGCCCUGUUUUCAUGGUGGUUAGGGGCGCUGGAACAGGUUGAUUUCUCUGUAUUCUUGUUCAUCUUCUCCGGUUGUCAUCGGCGCGGUUUCAGUGGUCUCACGAUGGUUAUAUAUUCAGGGG
rnacentral:lncRNA from 1 species